AUCAUCAUCAUCAUCUUCAUCAUCGUCAGCGUUGGAAGAGCCCUUCAUUGUCAACGUCAUUGUCGGCGUCAACGUUUUGAAGAGCCCGCCCAUUGGUGUCGGCCUUGGAAGAGCCCCGUCGUCAUCGUCGUCAUCAUCUUCAUCAUCGUCAACGUUGGAAGAGCCCUUCAUCGUCGUCGUCAUUGUCGGCGUCAACGUUCUGAAGAGCCCGCCCAUUGGUGUCGGCCUUGGAAGAGCCCCGUGGUCAUCGUCGGCGUGAUGAAGAUCUCCCAUCAUCAUC
rnacentral:lncRNA from 1 species